UACAGAGGGUGCGAGCGUUAAUCGGAAUUACUGGGCGUAAAGCGUGCGUAGACGGUAGCGUAAGUCAGAUGUGAAAGCCCCGGGCUCAACCUGGGAACUGCAUUUGAGACUGCUCUGCUCGGGUGCGGAAGAGGGAAGCGGAAUUUCCGGUGUAGCGGUGAAAUGCUUAGAUAUCGUCAAGAACACCGAUAGCGAAGGCAGCUUACUAGACUGUAACUGACGCUGAGGCACGAAAGUGUGGGGAUCAAACAGG
rnacentral:rRNA from 1 species